GGGUGCGAUCAUACCAGCACUUAUGCGUCGGAUUCCAUUCGAACUCUGCAGUUAAGCUUGCUUCGACAAUGUGUAGUAGUUUUAUGCAUACCAGAUUUGUGAGUAAAGUUUUGAUAUGUAUCUA
rfam:Cephalotus follicularis DNA, scaffold: scaffold636, isolate: St1.